GGGGAUGCCGGGCACCCCCGCAGCCACGGCCCCAAGCUGGCAGAGGUGACUGAUGGCCAGUUUCUCCCCACUCAGUGGCCACCCUCCACCCCCCCAGGGGCCCAGGCUGUGUUGAGGAGACACCCAAGUGCCUGGGGGCCCCCAGGGACAGUCCACUUCCUGCUAGUUCCAGGGCAAACCUGCCUUCUCUCUGCCCAUCGCCCCUCAGGAGUCUGUGAGGAAGGGAGCAUUGGGUUUGGAACAAGAGAGACUGGCCAGCGGCCUCCCAGACUCCGACUCUGGUGACUGUCUCGCCCUCUCAGAGCCCUGGGCUCCCGUCUGUCAUGGGAGGACGCGUCUCACGCUCACAGUCAGUGCUGAGGGCCCGGCAAGAGGUGUGGGGGCCGCCCACCCCCCCAGGGACGAGUGUCCUCCUGGCGGGGAGGCUUCCCAGGUCUGGAGACCGGGGGGCCAUUCCCAGACAGUGAGUCAGCCCUGGAGAACCUGGCUGUGCCUGAGACCGCCCCCCUCCCCAGGGCCUCGCCGGCAUCUUCCUGCCCAGCGCCAGCCCACUUGCUGGCAGCCAGCGAGGAGGGCGUGGAGAUGCUCCGGGGACGUGCUCCGGGGAGAUGCUCCUGGGAGGUGCUCCAGGGCGUCAUGGGUGGCUCGGUGGCCAGCAGAAGGCUGACCCCACAGUCCUGGAGGCCAGAGGGACAUGCCGACUUAGGGCCCGGGACACCCCCCCUGACACUGGCCACGUCUGCAGCAAGCCUGUUUCCAGAGCAGGUCACGCCCC
ensembl:lncRNA